CGGCCGGCCGCCUCACCCCGGCGUGAGGUGCACCGGUCAGCGACCCCCUUCCGUGCGUCGCUUGGUUGGGUUGGGUUUGGCGCGCGGCGGCCGGGGUGGUCGCUGGUCGGGGAGCCGGCGACGGAGGAGGAGGAAGGGGAGGAGGGUGGAAGGGAUGACGUCGUGGCUAAUCGGAGAAGCCUCUCGGCGCCUCUUGCAAGUUUGCAGGAGAUGGAUCAUGGGUGUUCCCUAAGUUCAUGCUGAAUAUUCUCCCAUAGAUGGAAUGAUGUUCUAAUGCAUCAAAUGAAUUGUAUUAUUGCAUUUCAGAUUUACUUGGGGGCAAUGGGCAAUAGGAUGCCUUAGGAGCAACUACUGUUGGUGGUCAUGCCCACCAAACCUUUCAGAUCUGGGGUUUUGUUUUGUGGACAUUCUGAACAGACAUACAACAUAGAGGGUCCAUGCACGCCUUCACAAUAUUGCAGUGGAAAGAGAAGCACAACAUUUGUCCAUUUGGUUUCUGUCCAACCUAAAUACCUGGAUGAUGAUGAUGUGGUAGGUCCUCAUGUUUCACUGGCGUAGAUCAUCUCCACGUGGUACAUCAGGUGGCAUGUUAGUGAACUUUACCAAUGUAGUACAUGACAACACCCAUAACUUCGGAGUUCCAGACUUGGGAACAGAUCCUGUUAAUGUUAUCGUUCAACGAAGAAGACUAUCUACAAUUUCAGACUAAUCUGUCUACCCAGGAGGCCAGGACUUCACCAACGAAUCAACAUGAAGGAAACACAGGAUUUUAUUUUUGUUUAAAGCCGUUAGAUCAUGUUUGCAGUGCUGGAAAGGGGGUACCAACUUGAUCCCAUCAACAGUGUCCUGGAGUUGGAGUGCAUUAUUGAUUCAAUGUAUCUGGAGAAGUCUUUAGAAUUUAGAUAGUUCAGUCGCAGGUGACAACACAAUUUGUGAUGGGACCAGGCACCAGCAAGUCAGGGUACGCUGAUUUUGGCUAAUAUUUGGACUAGAUGGCGACCUGGACGGAUGGACCUCACUUAUCAGUGACUUGCACUGGUGCAGCACGAAAAUGUCGUGUGCGUGUUUCUGAAAAGGAAAUAAAGCGUCGUGUCCAUUUUGUUUAGCAGUACCGGUAGAUAAGAUUAUGAUUGGAACUAUGCAAAGGCAGGGCAGAAGCAAAGUGAGCAUGCUAAGUUGCUGGGUCAGGUACUGGUUUAUCAUGUGCAGCUAUAGCAGCUAUGAACUGUGAAUGCAUGAUUGGACGGGCACAAAAAGUCUUCUCAAUAGUUCUGGGGUUACUUGGAAUCGAAUCCAUUUCUGCAUUGUCAAUCUCGUUUUCAUUGGAUUACAGUACGCCAUCAGAUGAAUUGGGAUAGGAGUAUAACUUGGCAGUGCACCUGAAACCGAAAGGCACAGUACAAGGAUAUGCUUUCUACUACGUGGAGAUGAACUUUCAGACUAUUUCAAGUUCUCUGCUCCAGUCCUAAAUAAGCUUAUCCUUCUAGUUCAAUUUUGAAGGUGGUACAAAUGAAGGAAUAGGCAAGGGGAGGUCCAUUUUUUCCAUGAAGCAAGUUUUCUUUCUUUCUUUUUCUAAACAGGCUCUAUGAAGCAAAAUUGACUUGAAUUCUACGGUAAAGUUCACAGCUGCACAUCCAUGGAAACUUAAGCAGAAGAAAUAGGAAGAUGGUUUUCAAGUUGGAUAUCUACUCUUUUCUUCUAUGUCACCUAAAUAGUUAUUAGAAAAAAUGGCAAGAUAGAUUAAUAUGAGAUAUACUAU